UGUCUCAAAAUAGCCAUGCAUGUCUAAGUAUAAGCAAUCAUACUGUGAAACUGCGAAUGGCUCAUUAAAUCAGUUAUCGUUUAUUUGAUAGUACCUUUACCUGGAUAACCGUGGUAAUUCUAGAGCUAAUACAUGCUAAAAAUCCCGACUUCGGAAGGGAUGUAUUUAUUAGAUAAAAAACCAAUGCCCUUCGGGGCUCCUUGGUGAUUCAUAAUAACUUAACGAAUCGCAUGGCCUUGCGCCGGCGAUGGUUCAUUCAAAUUUCUGCCCUAUCAACUUUCGAUGGUAGGGUAGUGGCUUACCAUGGUCUCAACGGGUAACGGGGAAUUAGGGUUCUAUUCCGGAGAGGGAGCCUGAGAAACGGCUACCACAUCCAAGGAAGGCAGCAGGCGCGCAAAUUACCCAAUCCCAAUUCGGGGAGGUAGUGACAAUAAAUACUGAUACAGGGCUCUUUCGGGUCUUGUAAUUGGAAUGAGUACAAUCUAAAUCCCUUAACGAGGAACAAUUGGAGGG
rnacentral:rRNA from 1 species